CCUACGGGUGGCUGCAGUGGGGAAUAUUGCACAAUGGGCGCAAGCCUGAUGCAGCCAUGCCGCGUGUGUGAAGAAGGCCUUCGGGUUGUAAAGCACUUUCAGCGGGGAGGAAGGCGUUAAGGUUAAUAACCUUGUCGAUUGACGUUACCCGCAGAAGAAGCACCGGCUAACUCCGUGCCAGCAGCCGCGGUAAUACGGAGGGUGCAAGCGUUAAUCGGAAUUACUGGGCGCAAAGCGCACGCAGGCGGUCUGUCAAGUCGGAUGUGAAAUCCCCGGGCUCAACCUGGGAACUGCAUUCGAAACUGGCAGGCUAGAGUCUUGUAGAGGGGGGUAGAAUUCCAGGUGUAGCGGUGAAAUGCGUAGAGAUCUGGAGGAAUACCGGUGGCGAAGGCGGCCCCCUGGACAAAGACUGACGCUCAGGUGCGAAAGCGUGGGGAGCAAACAGGAUUAGAUACCCCAGUAGUC
rnacentral:rRNA from 1 species